AAACAUAAGAGAACAGGAACCAAACGAACCCUGAAAGAUCAACUCUCAAACGCCUCUUCUUGGAAAACUUUCAUUGAGUUGCUAAGUCUUCCAGACAAUGUUCGCCCAUUUUGGGCAAUAACAAAAAUGUUUCUUGUCUUCUUCCUUCAGUGGAUUGGAUUCCCAAACGGUAACAUGCUCUUUUUUCAUUUUUUUUCUUUUCAAUUUUCACUUAGCUUCUCCAGUAAGAUUCGAAAUUCAAAUUCCUGCUUAAAGUUGAGACCCUAACUUUCUCCACUAUAAAUGCUUGCGUUUGGAACCCUAGAAAGGGGAAAAAAGGGAGCCGCCUCCGAUGCCCUUAAAUUUUCACAAUCGGAGAGGUUUUUUUGGACGCCCACAAAAUAGGUUUUUACACCUACAUUAAGUUUGAACACUCCCAGGUUCUGAACCUUUCAAUUACUUGGCUCUAAAGAAGAAAAUUUUCUCUUAUAAGUCUAGUUCUUGAAUUAUCGGAACAAGUUAAAAUACUUUUUUUGAGUUCGAGUUAGUUGUCGUUGGUUCGAAGGUGAUUCGCAACUCUAGUCGCCCCCGUCGCUGCUCGACAAAAAGGAAAAUUUCCCAACCCUGAAUAUUCCUGAGACACUACUACCCUUGAGAUGCUGCACACUUGGCUAUUCUGUUGCUAUCUUGAGUUGCUAUUUGAUGAAAAUGGCGAUUGAUUGGUUUGUUGCUGUUUUUUUUAGGGCAUCUCUGUUUGCCUAGUGAGUAAACUCGUAGUUGCAAACCACUGUAAGUUACUGUUACAUUGUUGAGCCUUUCUUUGUUGCAUUUGUGGCCAACCUGUGGCUUCAUAUGAAUGUAAGUUGUUGCUACUCUGCCUGAUAAAUAUAGUUGUUUUGUUUGAUGAGCUGCUAUUUAAGAUUAUGCCAUAUUUUGAACUGUGGUUGCACUUGGAGAGAGUAACUGCCUACAUUUAAGCUAAAAUUGAUGUUGUUCUUUGGUAAAAUAUCAUUAUUUACUGCUUGUUGUCUUGCGGUAUUUGUUGCCACCUAUUAUUACUUGUGGCUGUGGCAUUCUUUCUGAUUUGUUGCAUUUUAAAGGCUCCCAAAGUGUUGCAUUUUGGAAAAAUUAGUUGUUGCCUCAUUGCUUAAAAGAAAUCGAUACUACACUUGAUGGGAAGUAGUUGACCAUAUAUUUAUUAUAUCCUAUUGUUGUUGCUUUCCUGCCACUUAUUGUUGCCCUUCAAGGGCUGAUUGUUGCUGAAAUUUAUGGCCUGAAUGUUGAUCAAUAUUGAAUACUUUGAGUUGAGUUAUAUCACUAAGUUAACUGCUAUCAUUUGAGAGGUCACUGCUGCCAUACUUUAGGCAAAGCAAAUGGCUGAAUUUGAGGUUAAAUGAGCUGCAUUCUCGAGACAUUUCGAGGCAAAAUAGUUGCUGCCAUGUUUUCUUUUUAAUGAAGUUGACUUCUAGAGUCUGAUGCAUUGUUUCCAAGGCAAAUGGGUGUUGCAUCUGAGCCAAAGUGCUGAUGCACUUUCAGGCAGAUGCUUCACUUUUGAGUUAAAAGUGUUGCUGCAUUAUAAAACAAAUAGAUGCCACACUUCGGAGGAUGUUGUUGUCUUGAUGGGUACAAAUGUUACACUUUGACGAGCUGCACCUUUGAGGUAUAAAUAUCACAUGGAAUGAGUUCAGAUCACUGUUGCACUUUUAUGCCUAUCUUCUGAUGAGUUGUUUUGUUGCUACUUUGCAACUGUUAUAUAGUUGAUGAAGGACUAUUGUGAUCAACUCUCUGUUGGGGCAUUUUUGAAGCAGCAAUUACUGCUUUUAUGUAAAUGGGCAGAUACCACACAUGAGAGCUGAGGCUAUACAAUUGUAGAUUUGCUGACGUUAAAGCUGUUAGGCAGCUGUUCAUUUUUCAGAGAUCCUAUACUCUGAUUUUGCCCUCAAAUAUCUCUUGAUAAACUCAUUGAUUUGAACAUAAGCUAUACUUUUGGCUGA